CGUCAGGAUGAACGGCUGGCGGCGUGCCUAACACAUGCAAGUCGAACGGAGCUGCUUUGAUGAAGUUUCGGAUGGAUUUAAAACAGCUUAGUGGCGGACGGGUGAGUAACGCGUGGGUAACCUGCCUCACACUGGGGGAUAACAGUUAGAAAUAGCUGCUAAUACCGCAUAAGCGCACGGUACCGCAUGGUACAGUGUGAAAAACUCCGGUGGUGUGAGAUGGAUCCGCGUCUGAUUAGGUAGUUGGUGAGGUAACGGCCCACCAAGCCGACGAUCAGUAGCCGACCUGAGAGGGUGACCGGCCACAUUGGGACUGAGACACGGCCCAAACUCCUACGGGAGGCAGCAGUGGGGAAUAUUGCACAAUGGGCGAAAGCCUGAUGCAGCAACGCCGCGUGAGUGAAGAAGUAUCUCGGUAUGUAAAGCUCUAUCAGCAGGGAAGAAAAUGACGGUACCUGACUAAGAAGCCCCGGCUAACUACGUG
rnacentral:rRNA from 1 species